rnacentral:rRNA from 1 species
GAAUGUCUUGUAAUUGGAAUGAUGGUGACCCAAACCCUCACCAGAGUAGCAAUUGGAGGGCAAGUCUGGUGCCAGCAGCCGCGGUAAUUCCAGCUCCAAUAGCGUAUAUUAAACUUGUUGCAGUUAAAAAGCUCGUAGUUGUAUUUUUGCGUUAGCGGUUUGACCAUUUGGUUGGUUAUUUCGUUUUCGCUUUUGGGAAUUUCCCUUUUUACUUUGAGAAAAUUAGAGUGUUUCAAGCAGACUUUUGUCUUGAAUACUUCAGCAUGGAAUAAUAGAGUAGGACUUUGGUUCUAUUUUGUUGGUUAUUGAACCUUAGUAAUGGUUAAUAGGAACGGUUGGGGGCAUUCGUAUUUA